AACGAACGCUGGCGGCGCGCCUAAUACAUGCAAGUCGAGCGAGAAGACGUAGCAAUACGUUUGUAAAGCGGCGAACGGGUGAGGAAUACAUGGGUAACCUACCCUCGAGUGGGGAAUAACUAGCCGAAAGGUUAGCUAAUACCGCGUACGCUCCUUGGACUUCGGUUCAGGGAGGAAAGCGAUACCGUGGGUAUCGCGCUCUUGGAUGGGCUCAUGUCCUAUCAGCUUGUUGGUGAGGAACGGCUCACCAAGGCUUCGACGGGUAGCUGGUCUGAGAGGACGA
rnacentral:rRNA from 1 species